CUUGGUGCCUGAGCCUGUGCUAAAUGAGGGAGGGAACGGAAGGAGUUCAUUUGGAAUCAGAAGACUAAGUGAUAUGUUGUCGGAGGGACUUUGGAAUCCAGUUUAAUGGAAAAAGGAGGCCCCUGAGUCUUCAGCGUCACAAACAAUGACUGUUCCUGGACUUGUGUGACCACACAUCCCAGGCACUUAAAAUUGGGAAAUUUGGGGGAAGCAAGAUGGCCAAAUAGAACAAUCCAGCAAUUCUUCCCAUGCAGUAAUACCAAAUUUAACAACUAUCCCCACAAGAAAGCAUCUUCAUAAGAUACAAAAAUCAGCUCAUGAAGAGAGAAUCUGUAUGCUUGGGUGAGGGAGAGAGACAUGAUUGUGGGAACUGGUAUUGAAACUCAGUCCUGCCCUGUCACAGUGGA